AAUGGACGAAAGUCUGACGGAGCAACGCCGCGUGAGUGAUGACGGCCUUCGGGUUGUAAAGCUCUGUUAAUCGGGACGAAAGGCCUUCUUGCGAAUAGUUAGAAGGAUUGACGGUACCGGAAUAGAAAGCCACGGCUAACUACGUGCCAGCAGCCGCGGUAAUACGUAGGUGGCAAGCGUUGUCCGGAAUUAUUGGGCGUAAAGCGCGCGCAGGCGGAUUGGUCAGUCUGUCUUAAAAGUUCGAGGCUUAACCCCGUGAUGGGAUGGAAACUGCCAAUCUAGAGUAUCGGAGAGGAAAGUGGAAUUCCUAGUGUAGCGGUGAAAUGCGUAGAUAUUAGGAAGAACACCAGUGGCGAAGGCGACUUUCUGGACGAAAACUGACGCUGAGGCGCGAAAGCCAGGGGAGCGAACGGGAUUAGAUACCCCGGUAGUCCUGGCCGUAAACGAUGGGUACUAGGUGUAGGAGGUAUCGACCCCUUCUGUGCCGGAGUUAACGCAAUAAGUACCCCGCCUGGGGAGUACGACCGCAAGGUUGAAACUCAAAGGAAUUGACGGGGGCCCGCACAAGCGGUGGAGUAUGUGGUUUAAUUCGACGCAACGCGAAGAACCUUACCAGGUCUUGACAUUGAUGGACAGAACUAGAGAUAGUU
rnacentral:rRNA from 1 species